AUGUAACAUGCGUGACAAUAAUCAGUGAAUAUUUAGGUAUAACAUAUGUAUACAAUAUGGCAGUGGUUUAACACCAUUUACAGACAGCUAAAUAGCAACAGUUAUAUCGACAGGUAUGCAGUUUUCAACAAGAUUUACGACCGGACACUUCACUUUGAAAUCAGCUUGCUAAACAGUCCUUAACACAGAACACAGCAUCUCACAGUAGCACAGGGUAAAGCAAUAAAAACUUUGGCUGACAGUCAAAUCAAACUGAAUUAACUCAUUCACUGCUGGCUACAAUUCUCAUAGGAAAGAUAUCCUUUUAUAUUGCAAUUUUACAAAUACAAUAUUUCUCAUACUAGAUCAUUUGACCAUUCUUAUGUCCAUCCAAUAAGAAUAACUCUAACCAGAUUUAACGUUUGCAGAAUUUUAACUUCCCUAGUUGAAGAUGACUAUCCCUAAUCCAGAUAAAUCAAUAUCUCUGGGUAAAGUUCAGUAUUCUAAAUUUUGGCAAAUAACCAGCACAUAUAUUGUUUCAUUAUUUCACCUGUAGGAAUGAAAUUUUUAUAACCAUAUAUUCCUUAGCUAAUUAUGAUUUCUAAUAAUUGUAAUCUGACAAACCUUUAUCUAGAUAUAUAUUCCUAC